rnacentral:lncRNA from 1 species
CAGCAAACAUAUUUGUGUUCCCACACCAGGCACCCUUCCUUCUGUGACAUGAUAACAGCCUUUGAGCGACUGAUACUUUUGAUUUGUCUACCUAGAGAAGUGCACCCAGCUUAUGAUGCUGGUUUUUGAAAUGGGGUUGCUAUUCCCAUGGUGAGUGUCUUGGGGGAGUUUGGGGAUGGUAGUUGGAGUUAUAAAUUCAACUGAGGUCUUUUGUUUCAUUCUGGAGCAUUAUUAGAACCCUCGUGA